GCCGAUGAUACUUUUGUAGUUUUAAUUUGAAGUUAAGAAAAUUGGGUAAUUUCCAACUUCGGUU
rnacentral:tRNA from 1 species